rnacentral:rRNA from 1 species
UACAGAGGGUGCUAGCGUUGUUCGGAAUUAUUGGGCGUAAAGGGCGCGUAGGCGGUUUCGCAUGUCCGAUGUGAAAGCCCACCUCUUAAAGGUGGAAUUGCAUCGGAAACUGCGAGACUAGAGUGCCGGAGAGGGUGGUGGAAUUCCUGGUGUAGAGGUGAAAUUCGUAGAUAUCAGGAGGAACACCGGUGGCGAAGGCGGCCACCUGGACGGUUACUGACGCUGAGGCGCGAAAGCCAGGGGAGCGAACGGG